GGUUAAGCGACUAAGCGUACACGGUGGAUGCCCUGGCAGUCAGAGGCGAUGAAGGACGUGCUAAUCUGCGAAAAGCGUCGGUAAGGUGAUAUGAACCGUUACAGCCGGCGAUGUCCGAAUGGGGAAACCCAGUGUGAUUCGUCACACUAUCGUUAACUGAAUACAUAGGUUAACGAGGCGAACCGGGGGAACUGAAACAUCUAAGUACCCCGAGGAAAAGAAAUCAACCGAGAUUCCCCCAGUAGCGGCGAGCGAACGGGGAGCAGCCCAGAGUCUGAAUCAGCUUGUGUGUUAGUGGAACGGUCUGGAAAGUCCGACGGUACAGGGUGAUAGUCCCGUACACCAAAAUGCACAGGCUGUGAACUCGAAGAGUAGGGCGGGACACGUGGUAUCCUGUCUGAAUAUGGGGGGACCAUCCUCCAAGGCUAAAUACUCCUGACUGACCGAUAGUGAACCAGUACCGUGAGGGAAAGGCGAAAAGAACCCCGGCGAGGGGAGUGAAAAAGAACCUGAAACCGUGUACGUACAAGCAGUGGGAGCACCUUCGGGUGUGACUGCGUACCUUUUGUAUAAUGGGUCAGCGACUUAUAUUCUGUAGCAAGGUUAACCGUAUAGGGGAGCCGCAGGGAAACCGAGUCUUAACUGGGCGUUAAGUUGCAGGGUAUAGACCCGAAACCCGGUGAUCUAGCCAUGGGCAGGUUGAAGGUUGGGUAACACUAACUGGAGGACCGAACCGACUAAUGUUGAAAAAUUAGCGGAUGACUUGUGGCUGGGGGUGAAAGGCCAAUCAAACCGGGAGAUAGCUGGUUCUCCCCGAAAGCUAUUUAGGUAGCGCCUCGUGAAUUCAUCUUCGGGGGUAGAGCACUGUUUCGGCUAGGGGGUCAUCCCGACUUACCAACCCGAUGCAAACUACGAAUACCGAAGAAUGUUAUCACGGGAGACACACGGCGGGUGCUAACGUCCGUCGUGAAGAGGGAAACAACCCAGACCGCCAGCUAAGGUCCCAAAGUCAUGGUUAAGUGGGAAACGAUGUGGGAAGGCACAGACAGCCAGGAUGUUGGCUUAGAAGCAGCCAUCAUUUAAAGAAAGCGUAAUAGCUCACUGGUCGAGUCGGCCUGCGCGGAAGAUGUAACGGGGCUAAACCAUGCACCGAAGCUGCGGCAGCGACACUAUGUGUUGUUGGGUAGGGGAGCGUUCUGUAAGCCUGCGAAGGUGACCUGUGAGGGUUGCUGGAGGUAUCAGAAGUGCGAAUGCUGACAUAAGUAACGAUAAAGCGGGUGAAAAGCCCGCUCGCCGGAAGACCAAGGGUUCCUGUCCAACGUUAAUCGGGGCAGGGUGAGUCGACCCCUAAGGCGAGGCCGAAAGGCGUAGUCGAUGGGAAACAGGUUAAUAUUCCUGUACUUGGUGUUACUGCGAAGGGGGGACGGAGAAGGCUAUGUUAGCCGGGCGACGGUUGUCCCGGUUUAAGCAUGUAGGCUGGUUGUCCAGGCAAAUCCGGAUAAUCAAGGCUGAGGUGUGAUGACGAGGCACUACGGUGCUGAAGUAACAAAUGCCCUGCUUCCAGGAAAAGCCUCUAAGCAUCAGGUAACAUCAAAUCGUACCCCAAACCGACACAGGUGGUCAGGUAGAGAAUACCAAGGCGCUUGAGAGAACUCGGGUGAAGGAACUAGGCAAAAUGGUGCCGUAACUUCGGGAGAAGGCACGCUGGUGUGUAGGUGAAGUCCCUGCGGAUGGAGCUGAGACCAGUCGAAGAUACCAGCUGGCUGCAACUGUUUAUUAAAAACACAGCACUGUGCAAACACGAAAGUGGACGUAUACGGUGUGACGCCUGCCCGGUGCCGGAAGGUUAAUUGAUGGGGUUAUCCGUAAGGAGAAGCUCUUGAUCGAAGCCCCGGUAAACGGCGGCCGUAACUAUAACGGUCCUAAGGUAGCGAAAUUCCUUGUCGGGUAAGUUCCGACCUGCACGAAUGGCGUAAUGAUGGCCAGGCUGUCUCCACCCGAGACUCAGUGAAAUUGAACUCGCUGUGAAGAUGCAGUGUACCCGCGGCAAGACGGAAAGACCCCGUGAACCUUUACUAUAGCUUGACACUGAACAUUGAGCCUUGAUGUGUAGGAUAGGUGGGAGGCUUUGAAGCGUGGACGCCAGUCUGCGUGGAGCCAACCUUGAAAUACCACCCUUUAAUGUUUGAUGUUCUAACGUUGGCCCCUUACCGGGGUUGCGGACAGUGUCUGGUGGGUAGUUUGACUGGGGCGGUCUCCUCCCAAAGCGUAACGGAGGAGCACGAAGGUUAGCUAAUCCUGGUCGGACAUCAGGAGGUUAGUGCAAUGGCAUAAGCUAGCUUGACUGCGAGCGUGACGGCGCGAGCAGGUGCGAAAGCAGGUCAUAGUGAUCCGGUGGUUCUGAAUGGAAGGGCCAUCGCUCAACGGAUAAAAGGUACUCCGGGGAUAACAGGCUGAUACCGCCCAAGAGUUCAUAUCGACGGCGGUGUUUGGCACCUCGAUGUCGGCUCAUCACAUCCUGGGGCUGAAGUAGGUCCCAAGGGUAUGGCUGUUCGCCAUUUAAAGUGGUACGCGAGCUGGGUUUAGAACGUCGUGAGACAGUUCGGUCCCUAUCUGCCGUGGGCGCUGGAGAAUUGAGGGGGGCUGCUCCUAGUACGAGAGGACCGGAGUGGACGCAUCACUGGUGUUCGGGUUGUCAUGCCAAUGGCACUGCCCGGUAGCUAAAUGCGGAAGAGAUAAGUGCUGAAAGCAUCUAAGCACGAAACUUGCCCCGAGAUGAGUUCUCCCUGAGACUUUAAGUCUCCUGAAGGAACGUUAAAGACGAUGACGUUGAUAGGCCGGGUGUGUAAGCGCAGCGAUGCGUUGAGCUAACCGGUACUAAUGAACCGUGAGGCUUAACCUUACAACGCCGAAGAUGUUUUG
rnacentral:rRNA from 1 species